CGAGAACUAGUCUAUUGGGGAUUCAAAUUGGGAGAGCGACUAGAAGGAUUGUGGCACAAGUUAUCUUAGAUUAGGGUUAUUUAAGUUGAUUUGUUAUUAUGGACAUUUAUUAUGAUUGGUGGACUUUUAUUAUUUUAAGAACUAGGUUUCUGCAUGUUGGUAAAUGAUUAUUCUGCUGCAUAUUUAGACUUGUGAGACAUUAUGACUUGAGUUAGUCAAUGGAAUAAGAUUCCAAUUUAUUCUCUUAAAUUAUUUUGGAAAUUCAUAAUUGAGGUGUUUGGUUUAGAUGCCUUGCAUGCUUGUGGGGAGAGUUUCCUACGGGUGUGCGGCGGUUGGCGCGACCCCCGGCCCGCGAUCUCGGGACGGGGGCGUGACAACUUAAGUGGUAUCAGAGCGUAGGUUGAUAAAAUCUAAGACAAAGAAUCUGACAUAAGAUGAGUGUAGGUGGAUAAACACUAAGGGCAUUGGACGUGAAUCCAUGUCAAUUGCAUUGUAAGCUACUUUCAAGAUUUUCUAUUAAGCCUUGUGAUAGAUUAUGUAUGAGAAGGUUACUAGGAAAUUAUGAUUGAAUUUACUUAUGAGGUUUGAUACAUUAUGGAAGGUUGGGCAAUCUAUGAAUCAAGUUAUAAUUAGUUAGAUGUGGAUCUAAAUUAAGUGCAAAAGGAUUGGCCAUAGAAUAUUAUCGUGCAUUAUGAUUAUUUAUUAUUUAAGUGAACUUGUAAACUCAAAAGUUGAUAUGGAGGUAUACUAUGAUUUUGCUUAAUUUUGAAGAUAAUUUUUUUUGAGGCAAAUUAAGAUCCAUUUAUAUAAAGUUGUUUAAGAUUUGGGCUAUGAAACCUUUUUACAGUGCUUGAUUAAAUAUUCUUCGAGGAUUGAAAACUGUAUGUGGAUCAUGUAUGAAACUCCUGUGUAGAUGGAGAAUAUAUUUGGGAUAAAAUUCUAGAAUUUAUUCUUUGGCUUUACCGAGAAUUUGAAAUUUUAGAUCUUUUCAAAUUACAAUAUAGAUUGGGAUUUUGAUUGGAAGUAAUUUAGUAAAUUAUGAGAAUACUGGUUGUUUAAAUUAUUUUAAGAUGAUCAACGAUAUUAACUCUAUGAUUGGAAAAUAUUUUCUGAUGGGUUUCCUUGUUAAGGAGAAUUUCGUUGUCAAAGAAAAGAAUAGUGUUUUUGAUUUUGACUGGAUAUUAUCAUGUUAUUAAUAGGUUCUUCUAUCUGUUGUAAAAAGAGAGAGAGAGAGAGAGAGAGAGAGAGAGAGAGAGAGAAAUCUGGCAUCCCAAGUCUAGGAUUAAUGGUUUCUACAUUAGCUGAUCUUGGAUUUGGAAUGUUUUAGCAUAGAUCUCUUUUCUCUUAAAUUUGUAGCUUAUGCUUUUGACAGAAUUAAGAAAUAAUUAUCAAUCUUGAAGAAAUAAUUUUAUUGGAGAUUGUAAAGUAUUCAUCUCUGUGGAUUAUUAUUAAUUUAAAUUAUCGUCUUUGGAUCCAAAUAAUAGAUCUUGUUCCUGUCUAUCAGAGACUAUGUGAUGUAUAUAAAACUUCAAUUCAAAGUUUGGAUUUAAGCCGAUCUAGGGUCUUUUGUCAAUAUUGUUGCGGUUGCUGAUAAAAAUCUAGAUUUGCAUAAAGAAUUUGUAUUUUAGAGGCUUACAUGGUUAUGAUGAAGGAUCUUUGAUAAAUGCUAAAGAUCUCGAUGAAGAAAACGUUAGGAGGGAUGGUUGAGUUGGUUUUACUCAUUUGUAUUGAUUUAACGCCUUCUAAUUUGGACGAGCAUUGAGAGAAUUCUUCUGGUUGAUUUUACGUGGAGUUUGACUUAGAAUCCUCUAGUUGAACUGAUAAGAGAAUUAAGAUUCAAUUAAUUUUGACCCGAGGGUGAAUCUAGACGGAUGGCUGGAGGUAAAGUCGGGGACGAGAAUCAAAGAUUUCUUUUUAGGCUUUACGUGGAAAUUGAAAUUUUGGAUCUCUUUAGUUCAUAAUACAAAAUAGUAUUUUGAUCAAAAAAUUAUUAGUGAAUCCAAAGAAUUUUGGUAGUUUGAAUCAGAGUGCGCAACGAAAGCGUAGUGGUCUGAACUAUUUUUCUAAGUUGGUCAGAAGUAUUAUUCCUUUAAUUCGGCAAGUUUUAAUAACAAAAGACUUGAUUUGAUUUUGAAUUUUUGGAUGUCGCUGCACUAUCUUAGGUUCUCUAAUUUUAUGUCAUGCUAAGGAAAUGAUUAACAUCUUGAGACUAGAAUUAAUAGAUCAUCGAUUUUGAUUUUGGAUCUGGAAUAUUUUGGUGUAGACCUAUUUCCUCCUAAAUCUAAAGCUUGUACUUCUUCAAUUAAUAUCAACCCUCUAUUUGAAAGAACUUGAGGUUGUCAAGUGACUUUGAUGAAUAUUCCACUAGGGAUCGAUUAAUCAAGAGUAGUUGAUAUUUUGACAAAGAAACUUGAUGUUCUUAUUCAAAAUUAAGACGUUGAUUUUUUAUUUAUGAGAGAGAGAAGUUUGAUUUACAUCAUCUAUAAAAGAAUAAGAUGAAAUUAUAUUGAUAAGUAGAACUAUUGGAAGACUGAGGUUAGUCUUCUAGUAGAGAAGAAUGUUGUUGGUUCUAUGAAUAAUCUGAAGGUAGCUACGUAAUUUUCAUCAGUGGGGUUUUCUAUUGUUGACAAUUCCUGGGAGAAUCUUGGGCAUCUUAAAUUUAGUAUUAACGGAUUGAUGGUUACUUGGUUGGACUUAGAUCUGGAAAGUUUUAACAUGGAUCUCCUAUUCCUAAUUCUAACAUUGUUAAUCUGGCUAUUUGAAAGGGCUUGAGGUUUUAUAAGACAAAGGUUGAUCAUUAUAUCAUGGAAAAAAAAAAUGAGGAGCAUUUGAUACUAAAGCUUUCUCCUACUUACAUUUAACCCAUUAAAUUUCUAUGUAGAAUUAAUAAAGAGCAAUUAAUUUCUUCGGAAAAAGAAUUAUGGCAUUUUAAUCCAAGGAUGGAAGGUUAGUCUUAAUUCUGAAAGAGAUCAAAAAAAAAAAAAAAAUCUUGCUAUGAAUCAUAUAUGGAAAGGAUUAAGUUUUGAGAUGCCAUGAUUUUGCCAAAAUCUUGUGAGCUUGCAUUUCGAGAUGGGGAUUGUUUAGGAGCUCGGGAAUGAUAUGAUGUUUCCAUAUUUUCAUAAUUUGAAACUUUAAGUGAGUUAAUUUCGAGGACGAAAUUAUUUUAAGGGGGGAAGAAUGUGAAACCCAAGCUUUGAACCGAACUGGGCCCGGUCCACUUGACCGGCCCAGCCACCAGUUCCGGCCUCACGUGCGUUGCACAUGAGGGCACACAGUGAGGAGGUGGAGGGGAUCCAUCUCGAAGAAGCCGGGAUCCCCUGUUUUAGGGCAUUCUCCUCCUCCCCUUUGAGACCAUUCGAGGUAGAGCCGCCACACCUGAGUUCUUCCUCCUCAGGCUGCCGGCAGAGAGAGAGAGAGAGCGAAAGAGAGAGGGAGAUAGAGGGCUUUGGGUCUUCUUCGGUACGAGGGGUCUUCUUCUUCCUUACCGCCGGAGAGGAAGAAAGCCGCCGGACUUUCGUCGGGGCUGAGGUAAGGCCUUCUCCUCCUCUCUUGGUGAUUAGCCAUGAUGUGCUGAGGUUUUGGAGCCGGCCAAUCGCCGGAAACUUGGGUCCAAAAAUCGGUCGGCCGAGUGCUCCGCCACUGGCCUUGUUCACCGCCGGGAGUGGCCGGGCUUGCUCCGCCACCUCCUGCCGCUGUCAGAGCCGGCCACCACGGCCGCCCUUGGGCCCGACCGAGAGGGAAGAAGAAGGGGGCAGGGGGGUCACGGAUCCCCUGUUUCGCCGAAGGGGAAGGAAGAAAGAAGUCGGGGGAAGUUUCUGGAGAAGAAGAGAAGAAAAGAAAAAGAAAAGGAAAGGAAAGAAAA